rnacentral:rRNA from 1 species
GACGAACGCUGGCGGCGUGCCUAAUACAUGCAAGUCGAGCGGAUUCAUUCCUUCGGGAAUGGGUUAGCGGCGGACGGGUGAGUAACACGUAGGCAACCUGCCUUCAAGACCGGGAUAACAUGCGGAAACGGAUGCUAAGACCGGAUACACAGUUUGAUCGCAUGAUCGAGCUGGGAAACACGGUGCAAGCUGUGGCUUGGAGAUGGGCCUGCGGCGCAUUAGCUAGUUGGUGGGGUAAAGGCUCACCAAGGCGACGAUGCGUAGCCGACCUGAGAGGGUGAACGGCCACACUGGGACUGAGACACGGCCCAGACUCCUACGGGUGGCUG